GGGUCUGUACUGCCCAACAGUGUGCGUUUGAUGCUCGUAGCGAUGCAUGCUCCUCGUGCACAAAUUCGUACGGAUUUGGACAGAUAGUGAUACAGUUUCAUCGAGCAAUCGUUUAAUUUUUAAAAGAAACGAUACGACGUGCAAGCAAGCCUGUUCGAUAAAAAGAAUUUCAUUCACAACUGCCCAAAGAUGUCUGUGACCUCGUCAAGGCUCAGCAGUGUAUCGUCGAUAUUGAAAGGCCCAGGCAUCAGAGCAAAAAUUAUAAACCAGGCAAACAGAGUACAAUUCAAACUUCCAAAAAAUCUCAAGGAUAUAUUGCUUAGCUUCGAAAGUGGCACAAGUCAUAAGCAAUAUGAAAAUCUUGUGUGUACCAUUCGUGACUCGGAAAUUAGGGAAAGUGAGUUGAUAGAUUUGUUGACGGAAACACACGCUUGUAUCUCGUUACUUGGCCCGUCACAUAGAUUAUUUAUCGAGGCACUGCUGACGCUUAAUUGGACAACCAGAUCGUUGCAAGUAACGACAAUCUACAAAGGAUUUCUCGAAGAUCUAGUAUCUGCUCAUAACUAUCAUGCCAAGCUUAUAAUAGACAAGCUAGUAGAUCGAUUUAAAUCUGAAGAGGAUGACAAUACUACGGAAUGGGAAUUUUCCAAAUCAAAAAGUCAGGAUCUUCAAACGUUAAGGCAUGUGCAUGACGUCCUGCGAAUGCUUAUGAAAAUUAUUCCCAUGGCUACCGACGUUUUGUUACAAUCACUUGUAGCAAAUUAUCCUUACUGGAGGCUCAACACGCAAAGACAUGAAAUUUACAUAUAUGCCCUUCUUCAAAUACUGGAGUAUGCCCCACAUCUCAGAUCUGACAUUCUUUCACUGAUAAUCAACAGGUUAAUUGUUUUGGACGUUUAUGCGCCACGAUCGGAAAUAGACGAGUGCGAAGAUGACGAAGAUAUGGAGGAAAGUGACGAUGCGGCACAGAUCAUAUUUGCAUUAGACGAAGUGCAGGGUGACGCAAUAAAAAAUGAGAAACAGAAGGAAAUACGAAAAAUGAAACAUCCUGUGGCGCACACGUUGGACGUAUGCAUGGAGCAGGUGCUUGCAUAUAUAUAUAACUGCUGCCACAAUCAGGGAAUUCUCAACUGGGAAUCGUUGAAAAGUCUCUAUCACGAUGUCCUAAAGAUGUUUGAACAAAUAAUAUUGCCCACGCACGCCAGUCAGCACGUACAGUUUAUCAUGUUCUAUAUUUGUAGUUUUAAACCGACAGUAUCCGAAGCCUUUGUAAAUUGGCUGUGGCAGAAAGUCUCAGACCCAAACGUUGCCCCUGUUAUACGGCAAUCUUCCGUAUCCUAUAUCGCCAGUCUACUCGCCAGAGCUACAUUUAUUCAACUUGAAGUGAUCAAAACAACGUUAUUGAAAAUGUCUAUGUGGAUACACAGUUACAUAUCGUCGCAAGAUAGCCUCGAGUGCGCCAAUAGCGAUGUAAGGGUGCAUGGGGUAUUUUAUACCGUAUGCCAGGCAAUGUUCUACGUCAUUGCUUUCAGGCACAAGCAUCUCGUCGAGACUAGAAAAAACUUGUUGUUCCUUCAAAGCCUGAAUCUGACGAAGAUUAUAGCUUGUCGACUGAAUCCAUUAAAAGUUUGCCAAUCAGCAGUAGUGCGGAAUUUUGCGGCUGUAACGCGCACCUACCAGCUGGCCUACUGUUACACAAUAAUCGAGCACAAUGCUCGGAGUAAUCUACCCGUCGUUCAAAGUACCAAUCGUGUCACUCUCUGGCUGGAUACUUUCUUUCCUUUUGACCCCUACAUUCUCCUGAGAAGUGGCCCAAGAUUUACUUCGAUUUACAUGGUAUAUCAAGGCAGCGUCUCCGAUGAGGAAUCAACAUUGACCACUUGCAGAGAUGAUAAUGACGAUGACGAUUUUAUGGAUGAAACCUCAAUUCCUUUAUCGAGCUCGUGCAAUCAUAUGGAUGUCUUCUCUUAUGGAACGUCACCUGGUUUCUUACAACUCUGAACAUUCAAUUCUGUGUAGGGACUCGCAAUGUCUCAGGUCUUGUCAUAAAAUACCUACAAAUGUUAGUCUUUAUCGUGAUACUGAACUUUGGCGGUUGAACGCCAUUGAACUACACUAUACUAAUGUCCUCGGGUGCCUCGUCCUGCUGACCAAGUAACACAGUCAGAGCAUGCUCCAAGUUUUCAGGCAGGUGGUCCAAUAACA